rnacentral:lncRNA from 1 species
UCUGCUCUUUUUUAUUAUUAUUAUUGGAAACAACAGAAGGGCAUUUCAGAGGUACUACUGUUUCUUACUGCUAAUUUUAAUUUUUCAAAUUUUUUUUAAUGAUAGUUUUUGCGUCGUUUGAGAUAUGAAACCGCUCUUCUACUGUUGUUUAUGUACGAUGUAAGUAAAAAAAAAAAAAGAGGGAAUUAGAAAAAAGAAACUUUACUUGGUUACUGGUAAGAGGUUUGUCUUUUGAAAUUGCAAUAAAAAUGAAGCACCGGUUUUUUUAAUUAUUGCACUAAAAUGAAUUCAGUGUAACUCAGGUGUAGGGGAUGGCUUUGAGUUCACUUCAUGUACUUGCUGUUGUCCCACUUUAUCAACGGUGAGAUGUGGCUCUUGAUCUGAAUCGUUGGGAGCGCGAAUGAAUGGGAUGCUGCAACAAUCACAUCUGACUUUUGUCAUCGUGUAGGCCGGCUGCAGCCAAGGGGAUAUGACAGACACCGUACGUACGUAUAGAUAUACAUGUAGCGUUUAGGUUACGUUUCAUGUGAUUUCCUGGAA